GUGGGGAAUAUUGGACAAUGGGCGAAAGCCUGAUCCAGCCAUGCCGCGUGUGUGAAGAAGGUCUUCGGAUUGUAAAGCACUUUAAGUUGGGAGGAAGGGCAGUAAGUUAAUACCUUGCUGUUUUGACGUUACCGACAGAAUAAGCACCGGCUAACUUCGUGUCAGCAGCCGCGGUAAUACGAAGGGUGCAAGCGUUAAUCGGAAUUACUGGGCGUAAAGCGCGCGUAGGUGGUUUUGUAAGUUGGAGGUGAAAUCCCCGGGCUCAACCUGGGAACUGCCUCCAAAACUGCAUGACUAGAGUACGGUAGAGGGUAGUGGAAUUUCCUGUGUAGCGGUGAAAUGCGUAGAUAUAGGAAGGAACACCAGUGGCGAAGGCGACUACCUGGACUGAUACUGACACUGAGGUGCGAAAGCGUGGGGAGCAAACAGGAUUAGAAACCCGGGUAGUCC
rnacentral:rRNA from 1 species